rnacentral:rRNA from 1 species
UGGGGAAUAUUGCACAAUGGGGAAAGCCCUGAUGCAGCGACGCCGCGUGAGCGAAGAAGUAUUUCGGUAUGUAAAGCUCUAUCAGCAGGGAAGAAAAUGACGGUACCUGACUAAGAAGCCCCGGCUAACUACGUGCCAGCAGCCGCGGUAAUACGUAGGGGCGAAGCGUUAUCCGGAUUUACUGGGUGUAAAGGGAGCGUAGACGGACUGGCAAGUCUGAUGUGAAAACCCGGGGACGUCAACCCACUGGGACUGCUUUGGAAACUGUUUUGCUAGAGUGUCGGAGAGGUAAGUGGAAUUCCUAGUGUAGCGGUGAAAUGCGUAGAUAUUAGGAGGAACACCAGUGGCGAAGGCGGCUUACUGGACGGUAACUGACGUUGAGGCUCGAAAGCGUGGGGAGCAAACAGGAUUAGAUACCC